CUUUUGUGCUUGCACAAAAUGAUUAGUGGCGAACGGGUGAGUAACACGUGAGUAACCUGCCCUUAACUUCGGGAUAAGCCUGGGAAACCGGGUCUAAUACCGGAUACGACCUCCUGACGCAUGUCAUGGGGGUGGAAAGCUUGAUGCGGUUUUGGAUGGACUCGCGGCCUAUCAGCUAGUUGGUUGGGGUAAUGGCCCACCAAGGCGACGACGGGUAGCCGGCCUGAGAGGGUGACCGGCCACACUGGGACUGAGACACGGCCCAGACUCCUACGGGAGGCAGCAGUGGGGAAUAUUGCACAAUGGGCGAAAGCCUGAUGCAGCGACGCCGCGUGAGGGACGAAGGCCUUCGGGUUGUAAACCUCUUUCAGCAGGGAAGAAGCGAAAGUGACGGUACCUGCAGAAGAAGCGCCGGCU
rnacentral:rRNA from 1 species